GAUGAACGCUAGCGACAGGCUUAACACAUGCAAGUCGAGGGGCAGCACGGGAGUAGCAAUACAACUGGUGGCGACCGGCGCACGGGUGAGUAACGCGUAUGCAACCUACCUAUCAGAGGGGAAUAACCCGGCGAAAGUCGGACUAAUACCGCAUAAAACAGGGGCACCGCAUGGUGAUAUUUGUUAAAGAGAUUCGCUGAUAGAUGGGCAUGCGUUCCAUUAGGUAGUUGGUGAGGUAACGGCUCACCAAGCCGACGAUGGAUAGGGGAACUGAGAGGUUGGUCCCCCAACUGGUACUGAGACACGGACCAGACUCCUACGGGAGCAGCAGUGAGGAAUAUUGGUCAAUGGGCAGAGCCUGAACCAGCCAAGUCGCGUGAAGGAAGAAGGAUCUAUGGUUCGUAAACUUCUUUUAGUAAGGGAAUAAAAAGGUUACGUGUAACUUAUGUAUGUAACUUUAGAAUAAGGAUCGGCUAACUCCGUGCCAGCAGCCGCGGUAAUCAUA
rnacentral:rRNA from 1 species